AACGAACGCUGGCGGCGGGCUUAACACAUGCAAGCCGAACGCCCCGCAAGGGGAGUGGCAGACGGGUGAGUAACGCGUGGGAACGUGCCCUUCGCUUCGGAAUAGCCCCGGGAAACUGGGAGUAAUACCGAAUACGCCGUAUUGGGAAAGAUUUAUCGGCGAAGGAUCGGCCCGCGUUAGAUUAGCUAGUUGGCGGUGUAAUGGACCACCAAGGCUACGAUCUAUAGCUGGUCUGAGAGGAUGAUCAGCCACACUGGGACUGAGACACGGCCCAGACUCCUACGGGAGGCAGCAGUGGGGAAUCUUGGACAAUGGGCGCAAGCCUGAUCCAGCCAUGCCGCGUGAGUGAAGAAGGCCUUAGGGUUGUAAAACUCUUUCGCCGGAGAAGAUAAUGACGGUAUCCGGAGAAGAAGCCCCGGCUAACUUCGUGCCAGCCGCCGCAGUAA
rnacentral:rRNA from 1 species